rnacentral:rRNA from 1 species
ACGCUCGACACCUACGGGAGGUAGCAGUGGGGAAUAUUGCACAAUGGGGGAAACCCUGAUGCAGCGACGCCGCGUGAGCGAAGAAGUAUUUCGGUAUGUAAAGCUCUAUCAGCAGGGAAGAAAAUGACGGUACCUGACUAAGAAGCCCCGGCUAACUACGUACCAGCAGCCGCGGUAAUCUGAGCGGGCUGGCAAGGC